UACAGAGGUCCCAAGCGUUGUUCGGAUUCACUGGGCGUAAAGGGUGCGUAGGCGGGUCUUUAAGUCAGGGGGGAAAUCCUGGAGCUCAACUCCAGAACUGCCUUUGAUACUGAGGGUCUUGAGUCCGGGAGAGGUGAGUGGAACUGCGAGUGUAGAGGUGAAAUUCGUAGAUAUUCGCAAGAACACCAGUGGCGAAGGCGGCUCACUGGCCCGGUACUGACGCUGAGGCACGAAAGCGUGGGGAGCAAACAGG
rnacentral:rRNA from 1 species